UACAGAGGUCUCAAGCGUUGUUCGGAUUCAUUGGGCGUAAAGGGUGCGUAGGCGGCGCGGUAAGUCGGGUGUGAAAUCUCGGAGCUUAACUCCGAACUGCAUUCGAUACUGCCGUGCUUGAGGACUGGAGAGGAGACUGGAAUUACGGUGUAGCGGUGAAUGCGUAGAUAUCGUAAGGAAGACCAGUGGCGAAGGCGGUCUCUGGACAGUUCCUGACGCUGAGCACGAAGGCCAGAGCAACGG
rnacentral:rRNA from 1 species